AACGGUCCUAAGGUAGCGAAAUUCCUUGUCGGGUAAGUUCCGACCCGCACGAAAGGCGUAACGAUUUGGGCACUGUCUCAACAACAGACUCGGUGAAAUUGUAAUUCCGGUGAAGAUGCCGGAUACCUGCGACAGGACGGAAAGACCCCAUGGAGCUUUACUGUAGCUUGACAUUGGGUCUUGGUACUACAUGUACAGGAUAGGUGGGAGGCUUUGAAACCAGGGCGCCAGUUUUGGCGGAGCCAUCCUUGGGAUACCACCCUUGUAGUACUGGGACUCUAACCAUAGGCCAUGAAUCUGGUCUUGGGACACUGUCAGGUGGGCAGUUUGACUGGGGCGGUCGCCUCCCAAA
rnacentral:rRNA from 1 species